UACGGAGGGUGCAAACGUUGCUCGGAAUCAUUGGGCGUAAAGCGCACGUAGGUGGCCUGUUAAGUCGGGUGUGAAAUCCCUGGGCUCAACCCAGGAAGUGCACUCGAAACUGGCAGGCUUGAGUACUGAAGAGGGUCGCGGAAUUCCCGGUGUAGAGGUGAAAUUCGUAGAUAUCGGGAGGAACACCAGUGGCGAAGGCGGCGACCU
rnacentral:rRNA from 1 species